UGCCCCGCGCUCCGGGACAACCGCUGGAAACGGCGGCUAAUACCGGAUGCUCCGGGGAGGCCCCAUGGCCUCCCCGGGAAAGCCUUGACGGCGCGGGAUGGGGUCGCGGCCCAUUAGGUAGACGGCGGGGUAACGGCCCACCGUGCCCGCGAUGGGUAGCCGGACUGAGAGGUCGACCGGCCACAUUGGGACUGAGAUACGGCCCAGACUCCUACGGGAGGCAGCAGUGGGGAAUUUUGCGCAAUGGGGGGAACCCUGACGCAGCAACGCCGCGUGCGGGACGAAGGCCUUCGGGUUGUAAACCGCUUUCAGCAGGGAAGACAUAGACGGUACCUGCAGAAGAAGCUCCGGCUAACUACGUGCCAGCAGCCGCGGUAAUACGUAGGGGGCGAGCGUUAUCCGGAUUCAUUGGGCGUAAAGCGCGCGUAGGCGGCCGCCUAAGCGGAACCUCUAAUCCCGGGGCUCAACCUCGGGCCGGGUUCCGGACUGGGCGGCUCGAGUGCGGUAGAGGCAGGCGGAAUUCCCGGUGUAGCGGUGGAAUGCGCAGAUAUCGGGAAGAACACCGAUGGCGAAGGCAGCCUGCUGGGCCGCCACUGACGCUGAGGCGCGAAAGCUGGGGGAGCGAACAGGAUUAGAUACCCUGGUAGUCCCAGUCGUAAACGAAAGGCGCUAGGUGUGGGGGGACCAUCCCCCCGUGCCGCAG
rnacentral:rRNA from 1 species